rnacentral:sRNA from 1 species
UUGAUAGCCCUGGCGAGCAGCAUUUUCAAUUUAUCUGCACAACAGGCACAGCAUGGGCAGCAGCAGUGCCCAUGCUUCCCAUCCAAGCCGCCUCGGUCCUGAGAGGGACCCCCUGGAGGGGACACGGAGCUAUUUCUGCAUUACCUAGAGCUAUUCCCUCGCAGUCGGUC